CCUACGGGCUGCAGCAGUGGGGAAUAUUGCACAAUGGGCGCAAGCCUGAUGCAGCCAUGCCGCGUGUAUGAAGAAGGCCUUCGGGUUGUAAAGUACUUUCAGCGGGGAGGAAGGCGAUAAGGUUAAUAGCCUUGUCGAUUGACGUUACCCGCAGAAGAAGCACCGGCUAACUCCGUGCCAGCAGCCGCGGUAAUACGGAGGGUGCAAGCGUUAAUCGGAAUUACUGGGCGUAAAGCGCACGCAGGCGGUCUGUCAAGUCGGAUGUGAAAUCCCCGGGCUCAACCUGGGAACUGCAUUCGAAACUGGCGGGCUGGAGUCUUGUAGAGGGGGGUAGAAUUCCAGGUGUAGCGGUGAAAAGCGUAGAGAUCUGGAGGAAUACCGGUGGCGAAGGCGGCCCCCUGGACAAAGACUGACGCUCAGGUGCGAAAGCGUGGGGAGCAAACAGGAUUAGAUACCCCAGUAGUC
rnacentral:rRNA from 1 species